UACGUAGGUCCCGAGCGAUGUCCGGAUUUAUUGGGCGUAAAGCGAGCGCAGGUGGUUUAUUAAGUCUGGUGUAAAAGGCAGUGGCUCAACCAUUGUAUGCAUUGGAAACUGGUAGACUUGAGUGCAGGAGAGGAGAGUGGAAUUCCAUGUGUAGCGGUGAAAUGCGUAGAUAUAUGGAGGAACACCGGUGGCGAAAGCGGCUCUCUGGCCUGUAACUGACACUGAGGCUCGAAAGCGUGGGGAGCAAACAGG
rnacentral:rRNA from 1 species